AACGAACGCUGGCGGCAGGCUUAACACAUGCAAGUCGAGCGGCAGCACGGGAGCAAUCCUGGUGGCGAGUGGCGAACGGGUGAGUAAUAUAUCGGAACGUGCCCAGUCGUGGGGGAUAACGCAGCGAAAGCUGUGCUAAUACCGCAUACGAUCUAAGGAUGAAAGCGGGGGAUCGCAAGACCUCGCGCGAUUGGAGCGGCCGAUAUCAGAUUAGCUAGUUGGUGGGGUAAAGGCCCACCAAGGCGACGAUCUGUAGCUGGUCUGAGAGGACGACCAGCCACCCUGGAACUGAGACACAGUCCAGACUCCUACGGGAGGCAGCAGUGGGGAAUUUUGGACAAUGGGCGCAAGACUGAUCCAGCAAUGCCGCGUGCAGGAUGAAGGCCUUCGGGUUGUAAACUGCUUUUGUACGGAACGAAACGGCCCUUUCUAAUACAGGGGGCUAAUGACGGUACCGUAAGAAUAAGCACCGGCUAACUACGUGCCAGCCGCCGCCGUAAUAC
rnacentral:rRNA from 1 species